ensembl:snoRNA
UGCAUCUGUGAUGAAAAUUUGGCUCCCUCUACUGAAACAAGUGAGGAGAACUGCCUGAGUUGUUACCCAAAUCUUCUGAGAUGUU